GGCUGAUAGUGAAUUCGAAUGUUCUUAGGAGCAAUUACAUUGUACAUUUUGCAUGUGUAUAAUAAUGUUGGUUCGUUAUGAACUUAUGAAACAAGUCGUGUAGAACAUCUGAAAUCUAUGGAUGAAAACUGAAUUAAUGUGGCAUAAUGUGUAUAUUAAGGAUCGUAUUUUGCAGCUUACACUAAAUCCGUUCUGAGGUGACCUGAUUGCACUUUGGGUUAAGGAAAUGAUUAUUCUAAAUGUCAGAUGAACCAGCUUCAAAGAAUAAUUGAUUGUACUCUUAAGUUAGUACUGUAAAUGUCCCCCCUUUUAAAAUUCAGAAUCAAUUAUCUCGACACUGAUAUUAAAGUGUCGUUAUCCCCAAUAUCUCUAUACUGUUGUUGCCACGUUGUGGUCCUUUGACCGAGUCGAGUUCGACACUUUUAUCAAUCUAAAAAAAAAAAAAAAAUAAGACACAACCAACUAUAUAUUUGCAGAGAGCUAAUAAAAGCUCAAAUAAAGUCUCGUCCGAGUGUAUAUAUCUGUGUAAGAAAAUGUGAUCAACCUAAUCAGACCCAGUUUUUGGUGGGGUUCGUGUUGUUUAUUCUUUAGUAUUCUAUGUUGUGUCAUCUGUACUAUUGUUUGUCUGUUUGUCUUUUUCAUUUUUAGCCAUGGUUUUGUCAGUUUAUUUCGAUUUAUGAGUUUGACUGUCCCUCUGGUAUCUUUCGUCCCUCCUUUUUAAGCUUAAAAGUACGGACAUUUGAGAUAAUAAUCGAAUCUCACAUUAUUGGGGACCACCUUUUACGUUACCAUGAACAAGCGUUGUUGAUUCCAAUGGUUUACUAUAGGGUUCAAAC
rnacentral:lncRNA from 1 species